GACGAACGCUGGCGGCGUGCUUAACACAUGCAAGUCGAACGAUGAAGAAAAGAAUCGAAGCUUCGGCAGAAAUUCAUUUCGGAUUAGUGGCAGACGGGUGAGUAACGCGUGAGCAACCUACCUCUUACAAAGGGAUAGCCUCGGGAAACCGGGAUUAAUACCAUAUAACAUUGCGACGAAGCAUUUCGAUGCAAUCAAAGCUACGGCGGUAAGAGAUGGGCUCGCGUCCCAUUAACCGGAUGGUGAGGUAACGGCUCACCAUAGUGACGAUGGGUAACCGGCCUGAGAGGGUGAACGGUCACACUGGAACUGAGACACGGUCCAGACUCCUACGGGAGGCAGCCGUGGGGAAUAUUGCCCAAGGGAGGGAACUCUGAUGCAGCGACGCCGCGGGAGUGAUGAAGGAAUUCGUUUCGUAAAACUCUGUUCUAUGGGAAGAAAAGGACGGUACCAUAGGAGAAAGCGCCGGCUAAAUACGUG
rnacentral:rRNA from 1 species